AAGGUCUUAAGUUAAAAAAACUGGUAACCUUCAAAGUUAUAAAUAAAAUAAAAUUUUAGACCUUA
rnacentral:tRNA from 1 species